rnacentral:lncRNA from 1 species
GGACUCUCCAUGGGGCGACGGUAUGGCCAUGGGCCACAGAAGCAGGCAGGUGAACACUGCCAGGAGGCCAUGGAGAUGGGAGAUAUCCAGGAAGGGAAGGCAAGAAGCAGCACCUGAACCGGCGGAUGCGGAGAGGAUGAUGAGGGAGAGAGUGUCGGCUGGGAGAAGGGCAGGAUUUUCCACAGAGGCUUUGAGGAAAGGCAGAGGGGUUAAGGAGACAGAGGGUUCCUGCUCCCUUUUUCUGCAUCCCCAGCUCCGUUGCAUUCAUGGGUGCAGAAGAAGGGUUAGCAGCCAGGUGGGAGCUGGAAGGCCACAAAACAAGAGGCAGGAGAGAGGCAGCAGCAUGUGGGGCUGCAGGUGAUGGGAAGGGAUGGAGAGGAGGGCAAAGCCAUGCGCUGGCAGGGGAGGGAAUUGCUUUUAAGGGAGGAAAAGGGAGGAAAAAUCCUCUAGUGGCCAAGCGAGCUGGAACGAAACAGAAGUGGAGGGAGG